rnacentral:rRNA from 1 species
ACGAACGCUGGCGGCGUGCCUAAUACAUGCAAGUCGAACGAGAGCGACCGGUGCUUGCACUGGUCAAUCUAGUGGCGAACGGGUGAGUAACACGUGGGUAACCUGCCCAUCAGAGGGGGAUAACAUCCGGAAACGGAUGCUAAAACCGCAUAGGUCUUCGAGCCGCAUGGCUUGAAGAGGAAAAGAGGCGCAAGCUUCUGCUGAUGGAUGGACCCGCGGUGCAUUAGCUAGUUGGCGAGGUAACGGCUCACCAAGGCCGUGAUGCAUAGCCGACCUGAGAGGGUGAUCGGCCACAUUGGGACUGAGACACGGCCCAAACUCCUACGGGAGGCAGCAGUAGGGAAUCUUCCGCAAUGGACGCAAGUCUGACGGAGCAACGCCGCGUGAGUGAAGAAGGUUUUCGGAUCGUAAAACUCUGUUGUUAGAGAAGAACAAGUGCUAGAGUAACUGUUAGCGCCUUGACGGUAUCUAACCAGAAAGCCACGGCUAACUACGUG